GGGCGAAGCCAGGGGAAACCCUGGUGGAGGCUCGCCGCGGUUCUGACGCGCAAAUCGAUCGUCGCACCUGGGUAUAGGGGCGAAAGACUCAUCGAACCGUCUAGUAGCUGGUUCCCUCCGAAAUUUCCCUCAGGAUAGCUGCGACGCGGGGAAGCAGUUCUGCCAGGUAGAGCGAAUGACGAGAGGCCUCGGGGGCGGCCCGCCCUCGACCUAUCCUCAAACUCCCAAUGGGCAGGGGCGCGGCCGUUGCCUUCGCGCUGCGCUGGAACGGUCAAUGCGGUCAAUGCGCGCGCCGCAAGUGGGCCAAUCGGGGUAAGCUCGAUUGGCGAUGCGGGAUGCUCCGAACGUCGGGCGAAGGUGCCGGACUGCCCGCUCACCCAGACCCCCAGAAAAAGGCGUUGGUUCAUUCAGACAGCCGGACGGUGGCCAUGGAAGUCGGAACCCGCUCAGGAGUGUGUAACAACUCACCGGCCGAAUGAACCGGCCUGAAAUGAGGCGCUGAAGCGGGCGACCCGGUG
rnacentral:rRNA from 1 species